GACGAACGCUGGCGGCGUGCCUAAUACAUGCAAGUCGAGCGCAGGAAAUCGACGGAACCCUUCGGGGGGAAGUCGACGGAAUGAGCGGCGGACGGGUGAGUAACACGUAAAGAACCUGCCCUCAGGUCUGGGAUAACCACGAGAAAUCGGGGCUAAUACCGGAUGGGUCAUCGGACCGCAUGGUCCGAGGAUGAAAGGCGCUUCGGCGUCGCCUGGGGAUGGCUUUGCGGUGCAUUGGCUAGUUGGGGGGGUAAUGGGCCACCAAGGCGACGAUGCAUAGCCGACCUGAGAGGGUGAUCGGCCACACUGGGACUGGGACACGGCCCAGACUCCUACGGGAGUCAGCAGUAGGGAAUCUUCCACAAUGGACGAAAGUCUGAUGGAGCAACGCCGCGUGAGGGAUGAAGGCCUUCGGGUCGUAAAGUUCUGUUGUAAGGGAAGAACAAGUGCCGCAGGCAAUGGCGGCACCUUGACGGUACCUUGCGAGAAAGCCACGGCUAACUACGUGCCAGCAGCCGCCGUAA
rnacentral:rRNA from 1 species